UGAGGAAUAUUGGUCAAUGGGCGGAAGCCUGAACCAGCCAAGUAGCGUGCAGGAUGACGGCCCUAUGGGUUGUAAACUGCUUUUUCGCGGGGAUAAAGAGGGGGACGUGUCCCCCGUUGCAGGUACCGCGUGAAUAAGGACCGGCUAAUUCCGUGCCAGCAGCCGCGGUAAUACGGAAGGUCCGGGCGUUAUCCGGAUUUAUUGGGUUUAAAGGGAGCGCAGGCCGUAUGGUAAGCGUGUUGUGAAAUGCCGUGGCUCAACCAUGGCACUGCAGCGCGAACUGCCGUACUUGAGUACGCUGGAGGUAGGCGGAAUUCGUGGUGUAGCGGUGAAAUGCUUAGAUAUCACGAAGAACCCCGAUUGCGAAGGCAGCCUACCGUAGCGGCACUGACGCUGAGGCUCGAAAGCGUGGGUAUCGAACAGG
rnacentral:rRNA from 1 species